UAGGGUUAGGGUUUGGGAUAGGGUUAGGGUUAGCAUUAUGUUCAGGGUCAGGGUUAGGGUUAGGGUAAAUUUAGGGUAAGUGUAGGGUUAGGGAUAGGGUUAGGGUUAGGUUUAGGGUUUGGGUUACGGUUAGGUUCAGGGAUAGGGUUAGGGUUAUGGUUGGGGGUAGGGUUAGGGUUAAGGGUUAGGGUUAGGGUUAGGGUUAGGGUUAGGGUUAGGGUUAGGGUUAGGGUUAGGGUUAGGGUUAGGUUAGGGUUAGGGUUAGGGUUUGGGUCAGGGUUAGGGUUAGGGUUGGGCUAGGUUUUGUGUUAGGCUUAGGGUUAGGGUUAGGGUUAGGAAAAUAGGGUUAGAGCUACAUUUGUGGUAGGGAUAGGCUUAGGGUUAGGGUUGGCAUGACGGUUAGGGUUAGGGUUUGGGUUAAGGUUUGGGUUACAGUUAGGGUCAGGGUUGGGGUAGGUUUAGUGUUAGGCUUAGGGUUAGGGUUAGGGUUAGGAAAGUAGUUAGGGUUAGGGUUAGGGUUACGGUUAGGUUUAGGGUUAGGGUUAGGGUUAGGCUUAGGGUUAGGGUUAGGCUUAGGGAUAGUGUUAGGGUUAGGGUUUGGGUUAGGCAUAGGGUAAGUUUGGUGUAAGUGUACAGUUAGGGAUAGGGAUAGCGGUAGUGUUAGGAUUAGGCUUAGGGUUAGGGUUAGUGUUAAGAUUAGGGUUAAAGUAAGGUUAGGGUUAGGGUUAGGGUUAGGCUUAACAUUAUGUUCAGGGUUAGGGUUAGGGUUAGGGUAAAUUUAGGGUAAGUGUAGGGUUAGGGAUAGGGUUAGGGUUAGGGUUAGGGUUAGGGUUAGGGUUAGGGUUAGGGUUAGGGUUAGGGUUAGG
ensembl:lncRNA